CAUUACCGAGUUUACAACUCCCAAACCCAAUGUGAACCAUACCAAACUGUUGCCUCGGCGGGGUCACGCCCCGGGUGCGUCGCAGCCCCGGAACCAGGCGCCCGCCGGAGGGACCAACCAAACUCUUUCUGUAGUCCCCUCGCGGACGUUAUUUCUUACAGCUCUGAGCAAAAAUUCAAAAUGAAUCAAAACUUUCAACAACGGAUCUCUUGGUUCUGGCAUCGAUGAAGAACGCAGCGAAAUGCGAUAAGUAAUGUGAAUUGCAGAAUUCAGUGAAUCAUCGAAUCUUUGAACGCACAUUGCGCCCGCCAGUAUUCUGGCGGGCAUGCCUGUCCGAGCGUCAUUUCAACCCUCGAACCCCUCCGGGGGGUCGGCGUUGGGGAUCGGGAACCCCUAAGACGGGAUCCCGGCCCCGAAAUACAGUGGCGGUCUCGCCGCAGCCUCUCAUGCGCAGUAGUUUGCACAACUCGCACCGGGAGCGCGGCGCGUCCACGUCCGUAAAACACCCAACUUCUGAAAUGUUGACCUCGGAUCAGGUAGGAAUACCCG
rnacentral:misc_RNA from 1 species